UCAGAUGCCCGGACACUUGCAUGCCCUAAUUAUCGUCUCCGCGCCCUCGAUUUCUCUCGCAGUCUAUCUUUCCCUUCUUUUUUUUUCUCUGAGCAGCGGAAACAAAAGCCCUGAUUAAUGUCAGGUUCCUACGGCUACGGCGGACCCGACGAUCGCGCGCCGCCUCCCCGCGGCGGCGGAUAUGGCCGAGGCCGCGGCGGCUACUGUGGAAACCCCGGGAAUCGAGGUGGCGGCGGUGGGUACGGGGAUGGUGGGCACCAAGGUGGCGAUCGUGGUAACCGUGGAGGUGGCGGAGGGCGCCGAGGUGGUGGCCGCGGCGGCGGUUUUGGACGGGAGGGGGAUUGGCGAUGCCCCAACCCCAGUUGUGGAAACCUGAACUUUGCAAGAAGAACCGAGUGUAACAAGUGUGGUGCUCCAUGCCCUGGUGGUGCUGCUGGUGGUGGGGGAGACUCCAGUGACAAUAACAGAGGUGGUGGUGAUUAUAAUGGUGGUCGUGGUGGUUAUAAUAUCGGUGGAGGGGGAUAUGGUGGCAACCGAGCCGGAUAUGGUGGGAAUCUUGGUGGAAGGAGUAGUGGUUAUGGGGGAAGAGGUGGAUCUUACAAUAUCAAUAAUCACGAAAGAGAGGAUGGUGGUUAUGGUCAAGUUUCUCCAACGCCUCCAUCUGCAUAUGGUGGUCCUAUUGGAAAUUAUCCUCCUGCUCCAGGGACCUAUGGUUCAAAUGAUGCUUAUGGUGUUGAUUCUAUUCCACGUCCUAGUACCUAUGGUGAUCCCAAUUCUUACCCUCCUUCAUAUGGUGCUCCCCCUCCAAAUACAUAUGGCAGUGAAGGUCAUGUGGCUCGCAGUGGUCCACCAUCUGGCUAUAGUGCUCCACCGUCUGGAUAUGGUGGUGGAUAUGGUGACCGCACGAACCCUGUCCACGACAUUGGUGUUCCACCUCGCCAUAGUGGUGGUGCCUUUGGUGCUCCUCCUGUUGCAGUUAAACAGUGUGAUGAGAAUUGUGGAGAAUCCUGUGAUAACACGAGGAUUUACAUCUCAAACUUGCCUCCUGAUGUGACGACUGAAGAUCUGCAUGACCUUUUUGGAGGGAUUGGACAGGAAUUGGCUUCUACCACUAAAUAUGGCAUUAUUUCUUGCUCGGAUCAAGAGGUUGGCAGAAUCAAACAAAAACGUGGUUACAAGGACCAAUGGCCGUGGAAUAUCAAGAUAUACACUGAUGAAUAUGGGAACAAUAAAGGGGAUGCUGUACUGUCAUAUGAAGACCCUGCUGCUGCACAUUCUGCCGGGGGCUUCUACAACAAGUACGACAUGAGGGGAUACAAGAUCAAUGUUGCAAUGGCAGAGAAGACUGCACUUAAACCUCCACCUGCAUUUGGUCGUGGUGGUGGAAGAGGGGGCUAUGGUGGUGGAGAGCGACGAAGAGAUAAUUAUCACUAUGGUGGGGCAUCGGGACCAGAUAGGCAUCAUUAUGGUGGUCAUCGAUCACAACCAUACUGAAGGCUUGUGUGUUGAGAAUGUCAUUUUAGAGUUAUUUGUAGUUAUUGUCACCUAAGUUGUACUCGAAAAUGAAGCAUAAGAGGCAUGUGGAACUAAUCUCCAAACUGCUGCUAGAUUUGAAAAUUACAGGUGAGUGCUGCUGCUUCAUUAAAAUGCUACAUUCUGUUUAUGUCUCUUAUGAUGAUGUACUGAUACAUUUCUGUGUUGAUGAAUGGGCUCACAUCAGCAUGGCAGCAAUGUGACCCAAGCUCAUUUGCAUAUGAAAUAUAGGUCACAGAUUUUGAUCACUCGAGGAUUUCAGAUCAGCACACAACACUUGGGUUUCAAACCUUCCUCAUCUGGCAAUUUUUAGAUUUUGUUUCUUGCAUCAGAUGGCACGUUUUGAAAUUGUCUUCGUUUUGCAUUCGUAACCUUGUUGGUAGUUCCUUUAAUCCUUUUUCCCUUCCAUUUCUUGACAAUCUCAUUACCAGCCAUAAGUCUGUAGCUUCAUAAACAAACUUUAACACAGAAAAUUGCAUUGUUUGUAGUUACCAUGUCAGAAUAUGUAGCAGUAGCUCUUGGUGUGAAGGGAACUUUCCAUCUUCUAGUCAGCACUGUUGUACUCUAGUUUGCUAUCGGCUUCUUGGGCCUCUCUAUGAUAUUUAGUAUAAAAUGUCUUCUGAGCCUUGAUAAUAAUAGCAUUUUCUGA